AUGCUCAUUUCAGCAGCACACACACUACAAUUGGAAUGUUGUAAAGAUUAGCAUGGAUCCUGAGCAAAGAUGAUAUGCAAAUUGGUAAGGUGCUCAAUUUUUUG
ensembl:snRNA U6 U6 spliceosomal RNA